GACGAACGCUGGCGGCGUGCUUAACACAUGCAAGUCGAACGGGGAUAACGGAGAGGAGAGCUUCGGCAGGAAUCGCUGUCAUUCGAGUGGCGGACGGGUGAGUAACGCGUGAGCAACCUGUCCCAGACAGGGGGAUAACACUUGGAAACAGGUGCUAAUACCGCAUAAGACCACGGUGUCACAUGGCACAGGGGUAAAAGGUGCAAACCGGUUUGGGGUGGGCUCGCGUCCGAUUAGCCAGUUGGCGGGGUAACGCCCACCAAAGCGACGAUCGGUAGCCGAUCUGAGAGGAUGACCGGCCACAUUGGAACUGAGAGACGGUCCAA
rnacentral:rRNA from 1 species